CUCAGUCAAUGUUUCUAAAUUCUCAAUUUUGGUUUGAAGAUGUUUUAGAAUAUAAAUAUCAUGUUUUUUUUUUUUUUAUUUCUGUUAAUCCUGAUUUAGCCAUUCGGAGGCAAUAUUUUGUAUAUCCCACCCCCUUUCCUUCGUUCUAAUGACAGGGAUGAUGAUUUUCCAUUUUUAGAGGUUUUCCAAGAAGGGUAAAAACUUCCACUGCACUCCCAGCUGGGAAAAGUGUAGAGGAACAUUCUCUCUCUCAAGCUUACUCCCUUCCCCAAGGAAGCAGGAAUACCUAAUAACUAGGGCCUUGUCAUGAGACAUGUUUCUACAAUACUUUCUUAGCCUCUUUGCUGAAAACUCCAUCUUGUCUUGCUUUACUUUAUCCCAUCUUCCUGCUUGAAAAACAGUCACAGUGCUGCUAAGUGACUUAAGCUUAAGAACAAAGACCUAAAGGCAUAAGCUAUUCAUAGGGUCAGCUGAAUGAGGACAUAAUGCAUUGGUCUAGGCACACCAGACCUGUGCAGAUUGGCACACCAUGUGCACAAGCAUGAUAUGUCCUCUAAGGAAUAAGAGAAAGAGGAACCUCAUAGCCAACCAAGUGAUUUAUGAGCGGGUGUUGGCAGAAUAUGCAUUAGCAAAGAGAACCAAGGUGCAAACCUAGGCAUGCCAGGUUGCUGCAAAUAGGCAUGACAUUUGCAGAAGCACAGUGAGGAUUCUCUGGAAUGCUAUGCAUAGAUAGCUAACUCAAAUGCUAAUGAUUAUUAUGUGCCUAAAGGUCAGAGUAAAAAGCUUGAUCUUCUACCAGCUAAGUGGCUUUUAAAAUAAUAAAAGAACUUAUACAAUAAUAAACAAACCUUAUAUCCUCCACCCAUAGCCUCUCCUCACUUGACAUCAUCCUAAAGAGCACAAUACAAGCAGUGUGGUUUCUUGAGGAGGUGCUCUUGGUCCCUGAGACCUUGAGUCCUCCAGUUCCCACUUUUACUUAAGAUAAAUGUCUCUGUGUCUUGUUUUAUAACUUUUUUCCUUAAAUUUCACAGCAUCCGUUCUUCAGCCCCAUCCUGCUGAGCUGGUCUCUGCAGGGCCUUAGAAAAGAAACUCUGUGUUUGCUCUUUUAUUUUUUUCCUCAAAUCAUUUUGCUCAAAGACUAAAGUCUCACUAAUUGAAGAAAAACCUACUUGCUAAAAACACAGUAACCUUUUUUUUUUUUUGGCUGUGCCCAUGGCAUAUGAAAAAUGCAGGACCAGGAAUCAAACCCAUGGCACCUCAACCACCCAUUGCCAGAUCCUUAACCCACUGUACCACAAGAGAACAUCAAAAACACAGUAACUUUUAAUUGUUACACUAUCUUACCCUUUCUCAGAAGCAAGAUUGAAAGAGCUGAGUGACUUUGGAAAGCUAAACACAACUCAAUGGAAAACUGGCAUGGACUCAUACAGAAAACGCCAUAUGAUAUAACCUCUGGUUAAAAAGUGGAGACACCUUAAAUUUGCGCACACAAAAGUGAUCUUUUAUUCACACAACCUUUCAAACAGGUUCCUUCCUCAGUGUUCUUCAGCUCAGGCAACAGCACCACAAACUACCAGCUGUGGUAGACUUCUCUGCCUCUAUUGCUGUACAGAAAAAG
rnacentral:lncRNA from 1 species